rnacentral:snRNA from 1 species
AUACUUACCUGGUAGGGGAGAUACCAUGAUCAUGAAGGUGGUUUUCCCAGGGCGAGGCUUAUCCAUUGCACUCCGGAUGUGCUGACUCCUGCGAUUUUCCCAAAUGUGGGAAACUCGACUGCAUAAUUUGUGGUAGUGGGGGACUGUGUUCGCGCUCUCCCCUA